UGCUGCUCUGGCUCACAUGGCAUGGACCGUUCGGGCAUCCCGGGACAUCACAUGGACAUGCAAUUCUCUGCUACUUACAAUUUGUCCGAGUUUCGCGAGCCAGCAAAACCAGCGCAGCACUACAUGUUAACGAAACUACUGAAACGUGAAA
rnacentral:lncRNA from 1 species